AACGUAGGAGACAAACGUUAUCCGGAGUUACUGGGCGUAAAGGGCGUGUAGGUGGUGCUGUAAGUCUGGCGUGAAAUUUUUCGGCUUAACCGGGAAAGGUCGUCGGAUACUGCAGGACUAGAGAACGGUAGAGGCGUGUGGAAUUCCGGGUGUAGUGGUGAAAUGCGUAGAGAUCCGGAGGAACACCAGUGGCGAAGGCGACACGCUGGGCCGUACCUGACACUGAGGCGCGAUAGCAUGGGGAGCAAACAGG
rnacentral:rRNA from 1 species